rnacentral:sRNA from 1 species
CAUCGUGGUACAGGAAGCCUGCGGGAGUGUGAGGCAGAGCAUGAUGGUACAGGAAGCUUUUGUCUGUGUGAAGCAGAACAUCAUGAUAUGGGAAGUUUGUGUCUGGUGAGAUGGAUAAUCAUGAUAGAAAAGCUUCUUUCUGUAUGAGGGAGAGCAUCAUGAUACAGGAAGCUUCUGUCAGAGGGAGAGCAUCUUGGUACAGGAAGCUUGUGGUGGUAUGAAGCAGAGCAUCAUGGUACUGAAAACCAUGGCGGUGUAAGGCACAGUUUCCACCGUCUUCUAAAAUAGUGCCCACCAGUUGGUGACAACCUAGUCAGCGCAUGAGCCAGUGAGGACAUUUCACAUUUCAGCCCUAACAGUUUCUACCACAUUUAGUCACACUGGUCACACCAGAAUAGCCUUGAUUAUUCAUUGUGCCUAAGGGCAUGGGUUCUCAUUAGAGAGCCUAGAUUUAUUCGUUCCAAGCAACUCCCUUUUCUGUUCUCUCGCAAAGUCCCAAACUGAAAGGACUUUUCUGGCCAUUACACACCAGAACUCGGUCACACCUUUUACCUACUGGGGUCAGAGUUCUGAUGCUGAGACUAAAAAAUGCCAGGAAGCAACCUCCCCCCAUGUAUUUCUGAGUUACCCACAGUAGCCUCCACUGGGGACCUUGGGUUCUAGUGAUUUGCCACCUCUCUGGUGGGCAUCACUGUGCUGAUGCUGACUUUCCUGUUUGGCACGUUGAUAUGAUAGUAAGGAUGCCCAGUGCCCACAGGUAACAUGUAUGCCUGACAUUGCUCCGAAGGAUUACAGACAUUAACCCCUUUUGUCUGGAUGACAGUCUUGCAAGCUGGGAGCUAUGAUGAUCCCCAUUUUUCAGGGACUGAGGCUGCAGAAUCACUGCUGUUAAAAUGGACUCUCUCCUUCCUGGCUAGACAGGAGAAGCCGGUUCUCUCAUCAGGAGCCGUCUCAGGAUGACUGCAGUUCACAGAUCCUCUGUGAGGACAGCGAUUGGUGACAAGAGCCAUCAGAGCAAGGGGCAGGCUGACAGGAGUGAGGGCAAAGUGGAGCCAGCCCAAAGGGGCUCAUUAGCUCAGCAUU